rnacentral:piRNA from 1 species
UAGACUGAGGCGCAGCUUCCUUAACUGCAUGC